ACAAGAGGAGAGAUACCAGAUAUGGAUUAAACAGUCUGGAAGACUUCACUCACAGCUGAAUCCAUCAAAGUUCGACAAAACUCCUUCGUCUUCUCCAAGGCUGAAAACACAAGAGGAGAGAUGUCAGAUAUGGAUGAAACAGUUUGGAAGGCUUCACUCAGAGCUGAAUCCAUGAAAGAACAACAAAAACUCCUUUGUCUGCUCCAAGAUAUUUCACAUCGUCUUCAGUGAACAAAAGAAGAAGGGAGUUGUUUUACAGGCUAAUAGGCAGGCAGCGGUGAAUUUCCUAAGCAAUCAGGACUAACGUUCCCA